ACGGAAGGCAGCAGUGAGGAAUAUUGGUCAAUGGGCGCAGGCCUGAACCAGCCAAGUCGCGUGAGGGAUGACGGUCCUACGGAUUGUAAACCUCUUUUGCCGGGGAGUAACAAGCGGGUCGUGACCCGCCGUGAGAGUACCCGGAGAAAAAGCAUCGGCUAACUCCGUGCCAGCAGCCGCGGUAAUACGGAGGAUGCGAGCGUUAUCCGGAUUUAUUGGGUUUAAAGGGUGCGCAGGCGGCGCGUCAAGUCAGCGGUCAAAUCCCGGGGCUCAACCUCGGUCCGCCGUUGAAACUGCCGUGCUAGAGUUCGUGCGAGGAGAGCGGAAUGCGUGGUGUAGCGGUGAAAUGCAUAGAUAUCACGCAGAACGCCGAUUGCGAAGGCAGCCCUCCAGCACUGGACUGACGCUCAUGCACGAAAGCGUGGGUAUCGAACAGGAUUAGAUACCCUGGUA
rnacentral:rRNA from 1 species